ACCAUGUCAGGAUAACAUACUCCCUUGGAUUAUAGUCAUCGGACUCGCAAGACCAGACUCCAACACGGGCUGAAAUUUUGAAAUGGGACCUGACACUCUUGGACACAGUCGGCUACGGCAGCGGCUUCAAAUACGCUUUGGUGACCAUAUUUCUAAUCGAGAGUUGUGCGAACGAGCCAGACAAACCAGCUGGGAGGAGGACGGAAGCACCCCUUCUCCAUCCGCGUUCAGUUGCUAAAUACGGAUUCACCCCGUAGUCAACAGCAGACAGGGUCCUUCCACAACCACAUACUUAUGCCAGUAAAAGCCACAGCUUUUCUCCUCCAAUCCAAGACGCCUGGACUGCAGUCACCAUCUCAACACACCAACCAAGAGAAAGGCGGAUGGCUCAAUUCAGUAUGUAGUUCUGCAAAUAUUCUCAAAGGUCUUCACAGCCCCCCAUGGUGCUGAAUGCAUUUACAUUUAUUUGUGUAAGGUAAAAACAAUGCUGAUUACAGAACAUAACUAGGGCCAUGAAUGAAAUUUGAGGUAGCAGCCAGCCAUCACCUGAUGGUGAGAGGUGGUCCUAAGAUCAGAGAGAAGCAAGUUGAAAUCCCAUCCUUACCUCUCCCUACCUACACCUCCAUCCACAGCUGAAGUGCACUUGAGCAAGGCAUACAAGUCCACUUAGGUCCUGGGACUGUAGCCAACACCCUGUAAAACCCUGCUGUGUAAUUUGAUGUAAUG